rnacentral:lncRNA from 1 species
GGAGGGAGGAGGGGACAUACUCAUUUAUUAUUUGAGAGUUGGACGUUUGUAUGAUCCACUUGAGUACGUGCACAUUUAAAAAAAUAUGAAACAGUACGUGUAAACUUAGAUUUUAUCAAGGUUAGUAAAAGACCUAUCUUCAGCUGGAAGUCUAUCGAGCCAUUUUGAGUCCUAAACUUAGUUGCUAAUACCCGUCUAACCUAACCAAAGAGUUACCUAGUAGAAUUUUAGUGCUUUGAACAUUUAUUUUCUUGUUGGUUGUAUUUCCUCAUUUUUAGCCUAUUUACUUAAGCAAAAAUAAGUUCGAUUUUAGUUACUUAGACUUAAGAUCUCUUACUAUUAUUAUUAUUAGUAGUAGUAGUAUUUUUAAAUUGCUGUUUUCUGCAAGCCCAGCAAGUGUGGACUCCUAGGCAGUUCUGAAAACCGGAACAAGGCUCGCUCGCCCUUUCAUGCGUUUGCUUGACGUUGCAGUGGAAUCUGCUCCUGUCAGAGCUGAAGACAAACGGAAGCGCCCUGGGAGCUGCCCAUCUGUAGAGAGCUGUGAAGUGGGAUGUUCUUUAAAUGAAGGCAAACAAAUACUUCAGUGUGGGCUGAGCAAUAACGCGGUGUUUUAGGUGAACGCAGCAGAAGCAGGAGACCCGGUUGCCUUACGCCUUUAGUCCCACGUGGAAUGAAUUCCCAGCGUGGAUCCUGUGCACACCACAGCCGGAAGGAGGUGAAUCCGUACGCUUCCUGCUGACAGGCAUCUUUUGGAUGAUCUGUGAUUACGGAGAAGCCUUUUUAUGUGUGUGCUUGUUUUACCAUUUCACUCAGAGAUGUGUUUUUAAGGAUAUUUGUAAGAGCCAUUUUAAGUGUUUAAAUUAGCGCCGUGUUUCCUUCUUUCUAAAAAACGAACCUUGUACUGUAUAUGUCAUCGUGUCCAUGGCAGAUGUUAUGAAUUGGGACAGUUUUAUUGUCAGACUCCUGCGGUCCACUCUGUACAUACCAUAUAUAAACAUUUUACACGAAUCCUUUAGUUUUUUAAUUCAUCUACGGAUGCUAUAGAAUUUCCUAUAUUUGCCCCCUGGUAACUUGCAUUUAUUUGAUGGUGUAUAUACAAGAGCAACGUGUUUCGGUGAGUUUCUCACACCCUUGCCUGUGGACUUGGGUCAGGAACUCAUUCACAGCUAAGUGGCUGGGUUUGCUCCACACAUUUUUGCUGGGACGUUAGUUGUAUACUAAUCAUACGUCAGUUAGCUGUCUACCUGUACUCAAGCUAUUCAUAUUUCUAAUCCAAUAAUGUUUGCAUUUUGAUUGGGACAGAUUUACAUUCUUUUGUUACUUUUUUUUUUUAAAGAAAAGUUGGCUUUAUGUGCUGAGUGUGCAGUUUUAAAGAAAGGGAAACAGGGAUCCAGGAGUUGUGAUUACUUCAAGGUUGACCUUAUUUUUAGGCAGUGGAUCAGAACCUUUAUUUCAAACCUGAAGGGACGUAGGACUGUCACUCACUGGUCUAACGUGAGUGUCAGACUUUUCCAUGCCAUGGAACAGUGUUAGAUGGCUUAAGAAAGAAAUGCACUAUUAAAAAACACCUUUAGGACGGAUCAGAAUACAUUGGCAGAUGGCAAGACGGAGGUUCUGAUUCCCCUUGUCAAUCUGUGCAGCGAUAGGGGCCAUGGGAAACGGCUGACAUUUUGAAGUUUUGUCUGCAUUCAAGUCUGAGGGAUUGUAGCUUGGAAAACCAUUCAGUUGUCUCACUAACAGAGACAUCACUGUACCUUCCCCCACACCCUGACUGGUGUGUUAUUUUAAGGAUUGGGAAGUUAGUGUUAGCCACAGUACACGGACCUUUUCCUGGAAGCAACUGUGCCCUCUGUUGUUGGAUCCCAGGCAUGAAAACUUUGUGCUUUUUAGCCCCAAGUUAAGUCUGAAUGGUCAUCUUAUUCUGUGAUAGGUAAGUAUGACUGAGUCGGGGUGAUUUGGCGUGGGCCUUGGGUGGUAGAAGAAACAUCUUUAGGGCUUAUAAAAUGUUCUACAAUAUUUGUCAGCACCCAUGAAUUUGAGUACUGCACCGAAUAGAGUAGAGCUCUCAACAGUAUGUUUGAAAUGACCCAGAAGGAUAUUAUAAACUAUUCAGAUAUUCACAACGGCAAUCUAUCUCAGAGAGGCGAUCAUUUGCAUAUGUUGAUCAAAUUAGCAUCUGAUGCUCAUAAAUAAUGGAAUGACAUUAGGUUUAAUAAGUAAUUUUUAAAGAGAAGUGCUGACAGUCAUUGGGGUUAUAAAGAAAACCAAAAUAGGUACCAGGCCCUGUGCAGUUUAUCAGACAUUCGACAUGUCUGUUUUUUAAUGCUUGUGGACUGCAGUCCACCUCAUUCUAAAUUUUUGAACAUGUAAAGGAAAAUACACUCCCCCCACCUUUUUGAUACUUUUCUUACUCUAGUGGUUUUUUUUUAAUUUUUUUAAUUUUUUUUCAAUUGCUAGCAAGGUGAUAAAACUAGCCAAAUUGUCUUCCUUUUCAAAGCAGAAUCAUAUACGUGUGUGCCUGCUGCUUCUCUGAGGACAUAUAUAAUGUGCAAAUGCCCAGACAGGCAGGGCUUACAACACAGUCCAGUUCGUAUUGUUCUUUCCGUGGAAUGUUGAUACUACAUUAAAGCCAUGUAUCACGGAGCUUUGGUAAUUUUUUUAACUAUUCAUAUUAUGGUAUUCAAGUCGUUUUUGUACUCCUAUAUAUAAAAUAAAUUAUACAGAUAUUUAGAAAAAUACUGAGCGAAGGAAGUGAAUUCCUUAAGCAUUCCUUUUGCAGUCCAAAUUACAAGUUCUAUAAAACUGACAUACUUUAAAUUUGGUAUUUUUUUUAAUUGUAAAACUCUUAGUUAAGUCUCUGCUUGCAAUUUUUAUUGUUUUUUUUUCCCUCACUACUUUUAGUCUUUUAAAAUCUUAAUGUUUUGGGUAACUUAAGUCUCUCAAGUCAUGAAUCGAACCCAGUGUUCUUGUUCCCAGAGCCUACAGUACGUGGAUGAAUUUUUCCACAGUCGGAAGUAGGUUGCUGUAGCUAACUUUUCUUUGUGACAGUUUUGGAUAGUACACAUCUCAAACUAUCAGUACUGGAGGAUUUAGAUUUCCUCCAGGGCCCAUUGAACAGGAUGGAAGAAUCCUAACAGAAGACCUCCGCUGGAGUCAGCUGUUGGAUGGUAGAAGGAUUGACCAGUUGACCAAACAUGCUUGCCACUGCAUUUUGUAAUGUUUUUCCAAACCAGUUUUGUUUAUUUAAAAUGCGUUUUGAGGUGUGCAGACAUCAACUGUAAUGUAAACUGCUAUACAACUGUCUUUGUGACUUGAUAGCCAUGUAAACUUUACUAUUGAAAACAAACGAUGCUCGUUCUUUCAUUACGACCAGUUUAGUAUCCAUUUGAUGACACAGGAUUGAAACAUCCAUCACGGGCAUACAUUUUGAACAUGUAAAUUAAAUUUUCUGGGUAUUUGAAAACUUGCUCUUUGUAGUAAUUAUUUGGAUUCCGACAUGUUGAAAAACGUCACUUGCUAGGUGAUACAUAUCUUUGAGCUCUUUCUUAGAAAUCUAAGGGGACGUGGAAAAAUAUCCUAAUAUCCCACUUUUCUAGUGAAACAUAGACCCAAGAAUAAAAGCCCCUCCAUAUCAGCAAGGAAACAAAAACACAUGGGUGAAAUCUUUUCAGAGGUGCUCACACUUUUGAAAUUGUCUUCAUCCAUCCAAAUGCUGUUCCGUUCCUUCUACUCACAACCAGUUGUGUCAUGGAAACACUCUGCCGGUUUCCCUGCUGUGUGUGAAGAAAUGAAUCAUUGAUUGUGUGACUUGUUAUGUAUUCUAUUAAACACUAAAGAAUAAAACAUUCACUCCUUUAAUUAC